rnacentral:rRNA from 1 species
GACGAACGCUGGCGGCGUGCUUAAUACAUGCAAGUCGAACGGACAGGCCCUGCUUUUGUGGGGUGCUCGAGUGGCGAACGGGUGAGUAACACGUGAGUAACCUGCCCUUGACUUUGGGAUAACUUCAGGAAACUGGGGCUAAUACCGGAUAGGAGCUCCUGCUGCAUGGUGGGGGUUGGAAAGUUUCGGCGGUUGGGGAUGGACUCGCGGCUUAUCAGCUUGUUGGUGGGGUAGUGGCUUACCAAGGCUUUGACGGGUAGCCGGCCUGAGAGGGGGAACGGCCACAUUGGGACUGAGAUACGGCCCAGACUCCAACGGGAGGCAGCAGUGGGGAAUAUUGCACAAUGGGCGGAAGCCUGAUGCAGCAACGCCGCGUGCGGGAUGACGGCCUUCGAGUUGUAAACCGCUUUCGCCUGUGACGAAGCGUGAGUGACGGUAAUGGGUAAAGAAGCACCGGCUAACUACGUG